ensembl:snRNA Gm25289 predicted gene, 25289
AGCUUUGUGCAGUGGCAGUAUUGUAGCCAAUGAGGUUUAUCCAAAGCAAGAUUAUUGUUAAUUGAAAACUUUUUCCAAAAUAAAAUAUGAACAAGUUAAUUUCCUAAGGUCCAUUCAGA